rnacentral:rRNA from 1 species
GAUGAACGCUGGCGGCGUGCCUAAUACAUGCAAGUCGAGUGAACAGACGAGGAGCUUGCUCCUCUGACGUUAGCGGCGGACGGGUGAGUAACACGUGGAUAACCUACCUAUAAGACUGGGAUAACUUCGGGAAACCGGAGCUAAUACCGGAUAAUAUAUUGAACCGCAUGGUUCAAUAGUGAAAGACGGUUUUGCUGUCACUUAUAGAUGGAUCCGCGCCGCAUUAGCUAGUUGGUAAGGUAACGGCUUACCAAGGCGACGAUGCGUAGCCGACCUGAGAGGGUGAUCGGCCACACUGGAACUGAGACACGGUCCAGACUCCUACGGGAGGCAGCAGUAGGGAAUCUUCCGCAAUGGGCGAAAGCCUGACGGAGCAACGCCGCGUGAGUGAUGAAGGUCUUCGGAUCGUAAAACUCUGUUAUUAGGGAAGAACAAAUGUGUAAGUAACUAUGCACGUCUUGACGGUACCUAAUCAGAAAGCCACGGCUAACUACGUG